rnacentral:rRNA from 1 species
CAGUCGCCGCGGGAAUACGUAGGUGGCAAGCGUUGUCCGGAAUUAUUGGGCGUAAAGCGCGCGCAGGUGGUUUAAUAAGUCUGAUGUGAAAGCCCACGGCUCAACCGUGGAGGGUCAUUGGAAACUGUUAAACUUGAGUGCAGGAGAGAAAAGUGGAAUUCCUAGUGUAGCGGUGAAAUGCGUAGAGAUUAGGAGGAACACCAGUGGCGAAGGCGGCUUUUUGGCCUGUAACUGACACUGAGGCGCGAAAGCGUGGGGAGCAAACAGGAUUAGAUACCCGUGUAGUCCCUGUCUCUUAUAC